UAGUCGGGACCUAAGCUGAGGCCGAAAGGCGUAGGCGAUGGACAACAGGUUGAUAUUCCUGUACCACCUCUGUUCCGCUUGAGUGAGUGGCGUGACGCAGGAGGAUAGGGUGAGCGGCCUACUGGAUGGCCGUCCAAGCAGUAAGCCUGGUGUGUAGGCAAAUCCGCACACCGCUAAGGGCAAGCUGUGAUGGCGAGGGAAAUUUUAGUACCGAAGUCCCUGAUUUCACACUGCCAAGAAAAGCGUCUAGCGAGGAACAAGGUGCCCGUACCGCAAACCGACACAGGUAGGCGAGGAGAGAAUCCUAAGGUGCGCGGGAUAACUCUUGCUAAGGAACUCGGCAAAAUGGCCCCGUAACUUCGGGAGAAGGGGCGCCCCGGUAGGGUGAGGGUCCCCGCCCAACGUGAGCGUAAGCUUGCGUUGGGUGGGCUGAGCCCGAGGGGGCCGCAGUGAAAAGGCCCAAGCGACUGUUUAGCAAAAACACAGGUCUCUGCGAAGCCGCAAGGCGAAGUAUAGGGGCUGACGCCUGCCCGGUGCUGGAAGGUUAAGGGGAUGAGUUAGCGCAAGCGAAGCUUUGAACCGAAGCCCCAGUAAACGGCGGCCGUAACUAUAACGGUCCUAAGGUAGCGAAAUUCCUUGUCGGGUAAGUUCCGACCCGCACGAAAGGCGUAACGACUUGGGCGCUGUCUCGGCAAGAGACCCGGUGAAAUCAUAAUACCUGUGAAGAUGCAGGUUACCCGCGACAAGACGGAAAGACCCCAUGGAGCUUUACUGUAGCCUGGUAUUGGAACUUUGUGCAUCAUGUACAGGAUAGGUGGGAAGCUGAGAAGCAGGGGCGCCAGCCUCUGUGGAGCUGUCGGUGGGAUACCACCCUUGAUGUACG
rnacentral:rRNA from 1 species